rnacentral:rRNA from 1 species
GAUGAACGCUAGCGAUAGGCUUAACACAUGCAAGUCGAGGGGCAGCGAGGGUAGCAAUACCUGUCGGCGACCGGCGCACGGGUGAGUAACGCGUAUGUAACCUGCCCGCAACAGGGGGAUAACCCGGCGAAAGUCGGACUAAUACCGCAUAAAACAGGGGUCCCGCAUGGGAAUAUUUGUUAAAGAUUUAUCGGUUGCGGAUGGGCAUGCGUACCAUUAGGUAGUUGGUGAGGUAACGGCUCACCAAGCCUUCGAUGGUUAGGGGUUCUGAGAGGAAGGUCCCCCACACUGGUACUGAGACACGGACCAGACUCCUACGGGAGGCAGCAGUGAGGAAUAUUGGUCAAUGGGCGAGAGCCUGAACCAGCCAAGUCGCGUGAAGGAUGACUGCCCUAUGGGUUGUAAACUUCUUUUACAAGGGAAUAAAAUGAGAUACGUGUAUUUUAUUGCAUGUACCUUGGGAAUAAGCAUCGGCUAACUCCGUA